rfam:Glycine soja cultivar W05 scaffold3294_40, whole genome shotgun sequence.
CUGUCUCUUGGAGUUCCUCUGAAUGCUUCAUAUAUUAGGGACUAGUCUAAGACUCAUUAGAAAAAGUUAGUCCUUCAAUGAAGUGUUUGGGGGAACUCCUGGAUUCAA